GUCUUCUUGCUAUAUUUAGGAAGUCUGGCCUGCCCAGUGAAAAUAAUUUAACGGCCGCGGUAUACUGACCGUGCAAAGGUAGCAUAAUCAUUAGUCUUUUAAUAGAGGGCUGGUAUGAAGGGUUUAACGAGGUGUUGACUGUCUCAUUUAAUUUGAAUUUAGAAUUUAAUUUUUUAGUUAAAAAGCUAAAAUAUUAUUGGAAGACGAGAAGACCCUAUAGAGCUUUAUAUUUUUAUUAUUAAUUUAUUUUAGUUUAUUAUUAUUUAUUAUUAAUAGAAAGUAUUUUGUUGGGGUGACAAAAAUAUAUAAAUAACUUUUUCAUUUAUUUUACAUUGAUAUAUGAAUAUUAGAUCCAAUCUUAUUGAUUGUUAGAUUAAGUUACCUUAGGGAUAACAGCGUAAUCCCUCUCCAGAGUUCAUAUUUACAGAGGGGCUUGCGACCUCGAUGUUGGAUUAAGAUAAUAAUUAGGUGCAGCCGCUUAAUUAAUAGGUCUGUUCGACCUUUAAAUUCUU
rnacentral:rRNA from 2 species